UAAACAGCUUGCUUUAAUUUGUCUUCUUCCAUCCAUCUUCAAACCGAUGCCAAAAAUCAACGGGACAUAUGUCUUCCUGAUUACCUUUGUCAUUUUACUUGUGCCAUUUAUUAUCAUAUUGAAGAAAAAGUUUGUGUGCUGUGAUCAAGAAUCACCGCCAAAUUCUAAUAAUGCCACCGAGGAAAUAGCUGGGGGAACUCCAUGUCCGCCGGAAAACUCUGCUGCCGAAUUAGUGAUAGAUGUUUGUGAGGAAGAAAUUAAUGCGAAAAACAGUGAUUGUUCUAUUUGUAUAGCAGAAAUUAAGAAAGGGGAGAUAUGUGUGAUACUUCACCCUUGUUGCCAUGGAUUUCAUUAUAAUUGUGCUCGUCCUUGGUUUGAAGACAAAGAGACGUGCCCUUUGUGUCGGACAACUGUUAGUGACUUGUCACGUGUAACACGGUAUCGAGGAAACCUCGCACCAUGACUAGAUCGCAAUUAAUGUCUAACUAGAGCUAUGAAGUUCGAAUUGAAUCUCCAUGUAAAUAAGUUUCCACUCGACACAAAGCUCUUCAAAAACCCUUUAAGUUCCAUCAUGAAUGGUGACCCACAAGGUCACAACUAUGCUACAUUAAUUUAAAAGAAAGUGGACUCUCCAUUUGAAAUUUCACCCACUGUAAUCAGAACAGCCAGUUUUGUAAGGAGUGGACCAAAAUCUCCAUCAAUGGAAGUGUGACAUAGCAAAAACGAAGGUAUGAUA